AUUGAACGCUGGCGGCAUGCUUUACACAUGCAAGUCGAACGGUAACAGGGUGCUUGCACCGCUGACGAGUGGCGAACGGGUGAGUAAUGCGUCGGAACGUGCCGAGUAGUGGGGGAUAACGCAGCGAAAGUUGUGCUAAUACCGCAUACGUACUGAGGUAGAAAGUGGGGGACCUUCGGGCCUCACGCUAUUCGAGCGGCCGACGUCUGAUUAGCUAGUAGGUGAGGUAAAGGCUCACCUAGGCGACGAUUAGUAGCGGGUCUGAGAGGAUGGUCCGCCACACUGGGCCUAAGACACGGCCCAGACUCCUACGGGAGGCAGCAGUGGGGAAUUUUGGACAAUGGGCGAAAGCCUGAUCCAGCCCUGCCGCGUGUCUGAAGAAGGCCUUCGGGUUGUAAAGGACUUUUGUCAGGGAGGAAAUCCCUAGUGCUAAUAACACUGGGGGAUGACAGUACCUGAAGAAUAAGCACCGGCUAACUACGUGCCAGCCGCCGCGGUAA
rnacentral:rRNA from 1 species